UACGGAGGGAGCUAGCGUUGUUCGGAAUUACUGGGCGUAAAGCGCGCGUAGGCGGCUUUGUAAGUUAGAGGUGAAAGCCCGGAGCUCAACUCCGGAACUGCCUUUAAAACUGCAUCGCUUGAAUCCAGGAGAGGUGAGUGGAAUUCCGAGUGUAGAGGUGAAAUUCGUAGAUAUUCGGAAGAACACCAGUGGCGAAGGCGGGUCUCUGGACAGUUCCUGACGCUGAGGCACGAAGGCCAGGGAGCAACGGG
rnacentral:rRNA from 1 species